rnacentral:rRNA from 1 species
CGCGGCCUAUCAGCUUGUUGGUGAGGUAACGGCUCACCAAGGCAUCGACGGGUAGCUGGUCUGAGAGGACGAUCAGCCACACUGGGACUGAGACACGGCCCAGACUCCUACGGGAGGCAGCAGCAGGGAAUAUUGCGCAAUGGGCGAAAGCCUGACGCAGCAACGCCGCGUGGGGGAUGAAGGCCUUCGGGUUGUAAACCCCUUUCAGGAGGGAAGAAAUUGACGGUACCUCCAGAAGAAGCCCCGGCCAACUACGUGCCAGCAGCCGCGGUAAUACGUAGGGGGCGAGCGUUGUCCGGAAUUAUUGGGCGUAAAGAGCUCGUAGGCGGCUCAGCAAGUCGGCCGUGAAAACCUGAGGCUCAACCUCAGGACGCCGGUCGAAACUGCUGUGGCUAGGGUUCGGUAGAGGAGAGUGGAAUUCCCGGUGUAGCGGUGAAAUGCGCAGAUAUCGGGAGGAACACCAGUAGCGAAGGCGGCUCUCUGGGCCGACACCGACGCUGAGGAGCGAAAGCUAGGGGAGCAAACAGGAUUAGAUACCCUGGUAGUCCUAGCCGUAAACGUUGGGCACUAUGUGUGGCGGAUUCAUUGACAUCUGCCGUGCCGUAGCUAACGCAUUAAGUGCCCCGCCUGGGGAGUACGG